rnacentral:rRNA from 1 species
AUUGAACGCUGGCGGCAUGCCUUACACAUGCAAGUCGAACGGCAGCACGGGAGCAAUCCUGGUGGCGAGUGGCGAACGGGUGAGUAAUAUAUCGGAACGUGCCCAGUCGUGGGGGAUAACGCAGCGAAAGCUGUGCUAAUACCGCAUACGAUCUCUGGAUGAAAGCGGGGGACUCGCAAGGGCCUCGCGCGAUUGGAGCGGCCGAUAUCAGAUUAGCUAGUUGGCGGGGUAAAGGCCCACCAAGGCGACGAUCUGUAGCUGGUCUGAGAGGACGACCAGCCACACUGGAACUGAGACACGGUCCAGACUCCUACGGGAGGCAGCAGUGGGGAAUCUUGCGCAAUGGGCGAAAG